UAGGAUGGGGGCUAGCGUUGUUCGGAAUCACUGGGCGUAAAGCGCACGUAGGCGGAAGUUUAAGUCAGGGGUGAAAUCCCAGGGCUCAACCCUGGAACUGCCCUUGAUACUGGACGUCUCGAGUCCGGGAGAGGUGAGUGGAACUCCGAGUGUAGAGGUGAACUUCGUAGAUAUUCGGAAGAACACCAGUGGCGAAGGCGGCUCACUGUCCCGGUCCUGACGUUGAGGAGCCAAAGCGAGUGUAGCAAACAGG
rnacentral:rRNA from 1 species